rnacentral:tRNA from 1 species
GGGGUUGUAGCUUAGUGGUAAAGCACUUGCCUAGUGUGUAUGAGGCACUGGGUUCUAUCCUCAGCACCACA